GGAGCUGUGAGCUGGGGGGACUUUCAGAGUCGCUCUGCAUUAAGAUGGAAAAAAGAAGCUUGGAGAAGGGGAAAUGACUUUACCCAGCUAAGAAUAUGGCAAAGCUGAGCCAACUAGUCAAGUUUUCUGACCCCAAAUCCUGUAUUUCCCAUGACUCAUCUUGUGGAAGGCUGAGAUGCGGAAAUUGAGACUCAAAGAGGUUGAGCAGCAAUUCCGUGAGCUGAAACUUAAGCCCAGAUGCAUGUGAUUCCAGAGGCAGGUCUGCUUCAGGGGACCCCCAAUCUAAGACAGAUAUCCCCAAUUUCACAUGAAGAGACUGAGGCAGCUGGAGGCAAAGCAGCUUGUACAAGACCCCACAAGAAGAGGAGGAGUUGCUUUCUUGAACUGCUGUGGUUUUACCCACAGUCACCGGACCGUGCUGCCGCCCUGGUGGGAGGAUGUGUCUGCCUGCACAGCAUUCCCACAGCAACCAGCACAGCCCUUGUGUGGUGGAGGUGCCGGGCAUACUGAGAUGCAUCUGUCAGCAUCUGCCUCCUGGUACCUUGGGCCUGCAUGUCUGGCAGGCAGGUAGAAGAACACGCUGGCCAUUUCAAUGUUAAGACAAAGAGGUAGAGAAGGCUGGAUGAAGGAGGUGAUGACUGAACCAUAUCCUGAGGCAGCUGGGGUUUCCAGGAAGAGGACAGAGAGAAGGACAUUCAGGUGGAGGAGCCAGCAGAUGUGACAACCAGUGCACAGAGAGAUUAACUAACUUGCCGUCCAGUGGGCAUGUGGUGGAGCCCAGGGUGAAACCCAGGCAGUCUCU
rnacentral:lncRNA from 1 species